rnacentral:misc_RNA from 1 species
UACGAAGGGUGCUAGCGUUGUUCGGAAUCACUGGGCGUAAAGAGCGCGUAGGCGGCUUUUCAAGUCAGGGGUGAAAUCCUGGGGCUCAACCCCAGAAUUGCCUCUGAAACUGGGAAGCUUGAGUGUCGGAGGGGAUAGCGGAAUUCCUAAUGUAGAGGUGAAAUUCGUAGAUAUUAGGAGGAACACCGGUGGCGAAGGCGGCUAUCUGGACGACAACUGACGCUGAGGCGCGAAAGCGUGGGGAUCAAACAGG